GUUCCUGCCCUCCUCACCCCCGCCCCCACUGUUUGUGGCAGCAAGAUCCCUACUUUCCCUACUUGCGCUGACCUCCCUCCACUGCUCCCCACGGUCACGGCCACUCUUCUGGCAGUGGGAGCCCCCCAACUUCAGGAGCCAGGUCAAGACCCCUUGAACAUGAACAGUCAGUCCAUGCUGCAGAUUCCUGAGGCCUUCCCUGCCCAGUGACGUCACCAGCACGCCUGGGACUGUGCCCUUCAUUUGGUGACUCAGCUGUUGUUUUUAUUUUUUAUUUUUGUUUAUUUUCUUCUCAUUGUUCAAACACAUCUCAGCUCUUGUUAUCCUGAGCUAUGGUGUGUGGCUUUUAUUGCUGUUUGUCAUUGUCAUCUGUCUUGAAAACAGAGUUCAUGUCUUCUUAUAGUUCUGCCUCAGCUCAGGACGGCUCUGCACAUGACUUAGGCAGCAUCCGCCCACACAGUCAGUCCCAUGCAGCCUUGGGCUGGUGCUAGGGGCUCUAAGAGGCUCACCCCAGUCCCAGCUGGUGGUCCCUGUGGAUUCCCCAGCCAGAUCAGGCAGAAGUGUUUGUGGUUUGCCCUCCCUCUCUGCCCCCAGCCAGAAUUCCAACCUGGCCAGUUCUAAAAGCUGAACUGUGAGGACUCAGCCCUGCCUGGAGCAGCCUUCCCUGGAGCCUGGCUGACUGCACCCACCAGCCGUCAGCUCUGGCCUAGAAAUUUGGGGGUCCUGGAGACAGCAGGUCCUGCUGCCUCCCUGUCUUCCAUUCAGCCUAAAUGUCCACCUCCUUGGGGGCCUGCCUUCAGCUCACCUGCAGACCAUAGAAGUCUCCCUGCUGUGCACCCAUCCCCUGUGCUUUGGCACUCCCCACUCCGCCCCAGGGUGUUCUGCAACAUCGGUAGCAUGACAGAGGGCUUCUUAGAGAGAGGGCGCCCCUGCUACCAGCAUCCACAGGCUCAGUCUGAGCCUGGUUCCUGUUUGUGGUGCCCCUUUCUCAGGCCUGUGGGGAUGUCAGGAGCUUAGGACAGCGCCUGGCUCAAGAGAUGUGGCUACCUUCCCUCCUGCUUUCGGUACUCAGCGCAGGCAGGGUUCAGUGCAGCAAGUAACAGCUAUGGGUUACUGGAUUGCCUGCAACCAUUGGCGACUGAGAGAUCCCUGCAGCCCUCCCAGACCCCCGAUCUGACUGGAGCCAGGCCCACGUGGGGAAAGGGUUAAACAUUGGCAGUGACUUCAUCCGUGCAUUGGAGCAGGCGGAGGCAGAGAACCUGCUGGAAGCUGUUGUUCUGAACCAGAGAAGGAUGAAAAUAGCUGCCAAAGAUGUUGCCAUAGCAACUGCUUUCCUUCCUGACCUCCUUGGAAGUUAGUAGUUGACUUUGUAGUUGAAGUACUUUUCUGAAGGCAGAAGAGGCUGUCAGCCAUUUUACACUGACCUAACUUUCUUCUCUUGAAGGUGAACUCCCUCAUUUUCCAGAGUAGUCAAGGAAUUUCUGUGCCUCUACCCAUGGCUUUGGUUACCAACCCACCCCUGGGGGCCUUGGUUUCUUUCUGUGAAAUGGAAUAUUCAUUCCAGCACUCACUACCUUCUAGGCUGGAGUAAGGCUCCAACUUUGCAAAUGCUGUUAGUAAACUGUAGAGCUCCGUGCACUUCGACGUGUCUUUACUUGACCAACACUGACACUCCCUUGGGCUAAUGGCUCUAUAAAUUGGAGGAUGGGGGCAGCUGAUUUGUUCAACAAGCCCAGAGCUUUGGAGUUUGAUUCCUGUUCUGUCACCAAAAGCCCCUGGGACCUUCAGCAGGUCACGCAGGCCCCCAGGGACUCAUUUUCUCCUGUAAAAGGACACCUCUCUAGUUACCUCAAGAGGCCCCUUCCAGCUCUGACAUUCCAUGACCCUAAGUUAAAGGCCAGCCUGCUUUCCAUAAUAAAUCUGUGGAACUUACCAUCCACAUAGGAAGUGAAAAUGCAGCUGUGCUGCAUUGAGUCCUUUCUACAUGGCAGGCACUGCGGCACAUGCAGUCACUGAAUUUUCACAGAAGAUAACUGUCAUGAUUACAGCACCUACCCAAUUUGAUGAGGAAAUGGAGGCCCAGAGAAGUUAAAUAAACUUGCCCAAGGUUGCACAGCCAGUAAAUAGCAAUGUCAAGACUUAAAGCCUGGUGGUCCAGCAGCUAGUCCACACAGCUGUCUUUCUAGAUACUGACUAGAAUGACAAAAACAACAUGGGUCAGUUCAUAGCAGGUAAAACGUUGAGUGGAGCAAACCCUGGACGAGGCACCAGCAGCCCUGGGUUCUACCCUAGGCUGUGCCAUUAAGUGGCACCCUGUUACCUCCAGUAAGUCACUCUUCCUCUCUUUGUCUCAGCUCUCCCAUCUGUAAAAAUAAGAAGUUAACUGGCUGGGCAUGGUGGCUCACGCCUGUAAUCCCAACACUUUGGGAGGCCGAGGUGGGCAGAUCACCUGAGGUCAGGAGUUCAAAACCAGCCUGGCCAACAUGGCGAAACCCUGUCUCUACUCAAAACACAAAAAUUAGCCGGGCGUGGUGGCAUACACCCAUAACCCCAGCUACUUGGGAGGCUGAAGCAAGAGAAUCGCUUGAACCCGGGAGGCAGAGGUUGCAGUGAGCCAAGAUCGUGCCAUUGCACUCCAGCCUGGGCGACAGAGUGAGA